rnacentral:snoRNA from 1 species
UUAACACCCAAACCCAAGAGCAGCAGUUUAUGGUAACAGCAGUUCAAACAGCGGUGUGGACAGCAAACGAACCUCGGCGCCUUUGGGGGGCUGUGCCGUGCCGCUCAGAGUGAAUGUGGAGGUUCUACAGCC